rnacentral:rRNA from 1 species
CAGUAGCCACGGGAAUACGAAGGGGGCUAGCGUUGUUCGGAAUCACUGGGCGUAAAGGGUGCGUAGGCGGAUUCUUAAGUCAGGGGUGAAAUCCCGAGGCUCAACCUCGGAACUGCCUUUGAUACUGGGGAUCUUGAGUCCGGAAGAGGUGAGUGGAACUGCGAGUGUAGAGGUGAAAUUCGUAGAUAUUCGCAAGAACACCGGUGGCGAAGGCGGCUCACUGGUCCGGAACUGACGCUGAGGCACGACAGCGUGGGGAGCAAACAGGAUUAGAUACCCGUGUAGUCCCUGUCUCUUAUAC